GCAUUUUUCACGCCGAAGCUCCAGUUGGAGUCUCACUCAGUGGAGUAGGCUGAAGGAGGCCGAUAGUAGUAAUGAGCUUUUAGUGGUCACUGCAAGGCUCCAGGAAACCGAUUGGCUAAGUAGCUUUCAGCUCUCUUCCUGAUAUUUUCCUGAAGUGUUUUUUUUCUUCUUUUAUCUUUGGUUGUGCUACUUUCUUUGAAGAUUUGUGUGGGGGUUGGCUUUUUUUUCCUUAUUUUAUUUUGCCAGUGAGAGGGAGACACAACAGACUGCAUAGUUAGCGAGGCUGGGGGGUGGUUUCCUCAAACGUAUUGGAGUGCUGAGAAGCUUUCACUGCUGCUGUCUUUUCAUUCUUACUAAGAGCAAACCUGGCAUUGGGAGCCUGAAACUGGACUAAUUUACAUUAGUAAAACCAAAAGCUCUAGAGAAGAACAAAAUAACAGAAAGGAAAAAGUGGAAAUAUUACAAACUGAACCAUGGAGAAAACCCAGGAGAUAUGCAAGCUUGUUAGCAAGAAACCGGGAAACUCUGGCCCGAAUGAAACUGGAUCAACGCUUAUCCGUCCCUCGCUUUCACAGAGUGUCCCUGCUCCAAAGUACCCGGAGAAGAAAGCUUUUCCACUUGGCACUCCAGUGCCCGGAGGAGGCCAAAAUCCUUUGCUUCUAACCCCUGCAAGUCUUCAACUUGCUCAGCUCCAAGCCCAGCUCACUCUCCACAGACUAAAAUUGGCACAGACAGCCGUCAACAGCAACACAGCAGCAGCUGCCACAGUCCUGAAUCAGGUCCUCUCCAAGGUGGCGAUGUCUCAGCCCAUAUUUAAUCAGCUGAGAACUCCGACAAUGGUCAGCACUCCUCAUGGCCAUGCUGGCGGAGUUCAGCUGGGUGCAGGGAUGUCUGUGGCUGCCAGGUUAUCUUCAGCUGGAUUACAUUUCACACCUCCAAACACUGGCAUAGGACCUAUAGUGGGAAGAAUUGGAUGUCCAAGCAGCCUACACGCCUCAAAUGCAAGCGCCCUGGGGCUCAAUCAUUUUGGAGGCAUGGUGUCUCAAGCUCCCAAUCAGCAUACAUCAGCACCAACCAAACCAGAAGUAUCUCUCACAAACAGUGGAUAUUCUGAUCACCGGAAUAAAGUGAGUCUGUCUACUCCUCUCGAAUAUAUAGCAGACACCAGCCGAUGCAGCCAGUAUAAUUUUUUAACUGCAGUUCCCAGUGCCUCUCCAGGGAAAUCAGCUGAGGGGCAGUACAUGCCUUCUAAUCAGGCACUGCUUGGAAAUCCAUCCGGCCUGCAGCAGGAUUUCUACAGUUCAAGUAGUCAGGGUCAACAAGUACUGAAUAUGCAGACAGCAAAUUACUCUGGUGAACAGAUUGUCCGAAACCUUCAGCAAGGCAGCCACAAAGACCUAAUCAUCCAGGGAAAAUGUCCAGCCAGCCAGUGGCAAGGCCAGGUCAGCUUUUCCACUUCUUGCAAACCAGAGGUGGCAUCCACCUCUGCUGGAGUAUGGACACCAUUAAGUCAGCCUUUCCACGUGAGGAGUGAGCUCUAUGAUCCUGAGGAACCUACUACAGACUCAAAGUUCAAUCCGUCAACUGCUCCAUUGUCCCUGAGCCAAAGUGCAACCAACAACCAAGGAUACAUGGGAUUUCAGCGUGUGGUGCAAACAGAAGACAAAAAUCCUCAGGGCCUUGUGCUACCUUUGCAGCCUCAUCAGAUCAAUGACUUCCAUGCUGUAACACCUUCUCAUCUACCUCAUGUCUGCAGCAUUUGUGAUAAAAAGGUCUUCAAUCUCAAAGACUGGGACCAGCAUGUCAAUGGGAAGCUUCAUUUACAGAAGCGUAUGCUUUUCUCUGAGAGCUCAGCAUCUGGACCUGCUAAUUUCCCAGCGUUUUCAGAUGGAAGCCUAAGUAUUUCUACAGCCAGCUCCAUGGAUUAUACUUCAACAGGCCCCCAAGGCUCCAUCUCUUCUUUUAAAUCUUCUGCUGCAAUAAGAUCAAAGUCUCACUCCAUUGCUGGAUAUUCAUCCCAGUCAGGGUCAAAGAGAAGUUCAGUACCUGGAAGAGUUGUGCAUAUAUGCAAUCUUCCUGAAGGUAGCUGUACAGAAAAUGAUGUCAUCAACCUUGGACUCCCCUUUGGGAAAGUUACUAACUAUAUCCUUAUGAGAUCAACUAACCAGGCAUUUUUAGAAAUGGCGUAUGUAGAAGCUGCACAGGCAAUGGUGCAAUAUUACCAACAGAAACCAGCCAUGAUUAAUAAAGAAAAGCUGCUUAUCCGUAUGUCAAAACGAUAUAAGGAGCUGCAACUUAAGAAACCAGGAAAGGAUGUCCAGUCUAUUAUCCAUGACAUUAACUCACAGAGAGAAAGAGAUGUUCUGCAUGACACUGAAAGAUACCCCAUGGAAAGGACCCGUUCUCGUAGCCCUGUUAGUAGAUCAUUAAGUCCCAGAUCUCACAGUCCCAGCUUUACAUCUUGUAGCUCUUCUCACAGUCCACUGAUUCUGUCCCGAGGAGACUGGAGCAAUGGGUAUGGAGAGAAAAGGCCAUCAUGGAACCCAUCACCACAUGCUGGUAGAGAGGAGGAAGAAGACGGAGGUGAACUGAGCUGGAGAAAUCAAGAAGAUGACCCUGCAGAUCCAUGGAUGCAGGAAAGAAAGAGGUCUUACCUUAGACAAAAAGACAAAUCAAGUCCCAGAACAGUGGAAGAGAGACAAGAAGGAAUGAGAGGAAACCGUGAUAGAUAUGUUAAAAACGCUUCUCAUAGUUCUUACCAAGACCAAGAUGAUGACAACUGCAAGAAGGAAGUCAAAAACAAGUCUGAGAAAUCCCAGAAGCAGCAGCAAUAUGAUGCAAAGACAAGAAAGAAAAAAACUGAAGGCCAUCAAAAACAAAACGAAGGAAGUCUGUGUGGAAGUGAAAUCUUAGAAGACUCAAGUGCAGAAGGAAAAGCCAGAAGGAUAUCGGAGGAAAGGAGCCAAACAGACACAAAGAAGAUGAGGGAGACUAUAGAAAAACGAGCAAAAAGCAUGUCAGAAAGCGAAGAGAAAGAUGAUGAUGAAUAUAUCAAGAACAAAAAGGAAUCACUGAAUCCAGAUCAUAAGUACAGUGACUCAGAGAGUGGAAAUGACACAGAAGAGGAUACCUGGUACCCUCAUAAUAUGGAAGAGUUGGUCACAGUAGACGAAAUAGGAGACGACGAGGAAAAUAUCAUUGAACCUGACAUACCUGAACUGGAUGAAGAAAUCCAAAAUUGUACACCUCCUGCUGAACAUUCUGAAUAUUGUAAUUUGUCACUUGAUGUGGCAGAAAUACAGAAACAGAUUAUUCAGGACAACUGUGACUUGGUUGAAGGCAAUCGGGUUGGUGAUAAUUCAGCUGAAAGUGAAGAGAUCGUUUUAUCUGACCUUGGUGACAAAAGUCUGAAAGAAGCAGAACAAACCAUGGAUAGCCAAAAUGAAUGCUGUGAAAUAAGCCAGGAUGCAGAACUCUUGAACUGUCCAGCACAGGGUUUGUCAACUGGCCAUAAAAUAACAAAUCUUUUAGAACAUGUUCGUCCAGUAAGUCCUACUAUUCUCAUCCACCAGCAAAAUGCAGAAGAGCAGAAAGUGUCUUCAGAAUGUCAAAAAAAUGUGAAAGGUAAAGAAAUCUGUGAAACAGAAGAAACAAAAAUGGACCCUAAAGUUCUUUCAGAAGAUGCAUUACAUAUACUUUGCCAACCAUUACAAAGAACAGCACUUCAAAGCCACUCACCUGCAAAACCAGAAAUGGAGGGAAAGAAAGCACAUUCAUCAUUACCAUCAUGGGAUCAUGAGAAUGUAUUUAGUGAACUUGGCAUCCCAUUAGGUGUGGAAUUUGUGGUGCCAAGAACCGGAUUUUACUGUAAGCUUUGUGGUCUGUUCUACACCAGUGAAGAGACAGCUAAAAUCUCCCAUUGUAGGAGUACGGUGCACUACAGGAACCUGCAGAAAUAUUUAUCACAGUUGGCUAAAGAGAACUUGAAUAGUAUGCAUGAGAAUGAUGUAAACACAGAAGAGAUUGGUAUUGUCCCGCAGUUUGAAGAAAUAACCAAACCUUGUUGAGCUGAAUGGGAGGAUUAAACUGAAUUGCAUGAACUGCAGGUAAAAGGUGCUACAAGUUACCACUUCCUAACAAAAAGUUUUGUAAAAAAAAGGAAACAAUGGUCUGUCUUUAUUGAAGUGAGCCGAUUAGUUUAAUUGAUGGCAGAACCAUGUUUUGCUUCAGACUCAAGAGUAGAUGUACAAAUAUUGAACAGUAAAGCUCAGCAAAGGACCUCUGUGCAUCUGUUGGGAAAUUCCAGGAAAUAUAUGCCAUGGCUGCAUGUAAGUGGUUGUUAAGCUAGAAAAAAGAUAAUUUUUCAAAGAUGGACAACAGUAACAAAUGGGACUUCAACAUUUUUGUCUGUUUACACAUACUGUUCAUGGUGUGGGCAACACAUUGACAAUUCCAUUUACCAAACUUUCUUACAGUAAAAACACCCACAUACAGCCUAACAUGUUUGACUGAGAAUUCUGUUUGAAAUGUCAUUGAACAUGGGUGUGAGCAGGGCCAUCAUACGUUUCCUUUUUUUUUUUGUGACCUGAAAACAAUAAAAUGAGGCCAUGAAUCUGAAUAGUAAUUAUUAGGUGGUCAUAAACAGGAGUAAUUUGACCCUUCUGCUGUUGUAUUAAAUUUUUUCACCCCUUUGAUACCAUUUCAAUUAAACUUACAUACAGCAAACUUCCAUCUAUUUUAAUCAGUUGCAUCAAUUAAGAUUUCUUUAAUGAAAAUCUACAUGGUAUACAGUAUAUGAUUUUUUUCCAUUGCUCAUAUAGCACACGUGGCUGUGUCUUUUGGCCAAAAAUUAAUU